UACAGAGGUCUCGAGCGUUAAUCGGAGUCACUGGGCUUAAAGGGUGCGUAGGCGGACUCGCAAGUGCUUUGUGAAAUCCCACGGCUCAACCGUGGAAUGGCUUGGCAGACUGCGGGUCUUGAGGUCGGUAGGGGUCGCCGGAACUCUAGGUGGAGCGGUGAAAUGCGUAGAUAUCUAGAGGAACGCCAAAGGUGAAGACAGGCGACUGGGCCGAUUCUGACGCUGAGGCACGAAAGCGUGGGUAGCGAACGGG
rnacentral:rRNA from 1 species